rnacentral:lncRNA from 1 species
GGAGAAUGUUUUAAGAAAAAGGUGUUUAUAAUGGACCAAAGAAAUACAUAUGUUAUCUUUUAAAAAAUAUUUAACUCGAGUGAAGCUCCUGUAUUGCAAGCCUCAAGACCCAGAAGUUCACUGGAGAUUUUUACUCAUAGUUUAAAGAAAUGUUCAGAUGUCCAAAGGAGCAGUGCAGGUGACUUGAAAGCAAUAACUUAUGGUAUCACACUCUUCAAGAUGCUUUGUAUCAGUGUCUUGUCUCGCUUUCCUGAUGUGCAAAUGAAGCUUGUCCAAUAUGUGUUACCCCAGAAAGAAUUAAGAUAAUUGAAGUCAGAAUAUCUGAACUUGGAUCGCUUGCAAGUAAGGAUGAUCUGCAUGCACAUGUUCUGUAAAGAUAAUGGUGAACAGAUCCAGAUGAUUCCUGAUUUAAAGCUACAGAAGAGGGAGUAAUCCUGAUUCCUAUAUUAAAAGGAGGGGAAUUUCAUGAUGGGGAGAAGACUGAGAAUGUGUGUAACCUUUCUGCUCUGAGGCUGGAAGUACUGAAGAAUGGACAUGAGCCAGAGACACGAACAGGAAGAGCCAAAAGCCUGAGGGACCUUUGGCCAUUCAGAGAACAUUCACCAGCUUUAACUAGCUGUUCUCUGUCCUAUGCUUGUUGACUGUUCCACUCGCUUUCUGCCUCUUUACUUCUGCUUCAAUCCUGUUUGCACUGCAUGCUUUUUUUCCCCCAAUCUGCCCUUCUUCGUGCUUUUUAAAGUUUUUUGUUUGGCUGACUUUUUUUUUUUUUUGCUUUUUUUGUUUG